rnacentral:rRNA from 1 species
AAAAAAGGUAAGCUACUAAGAGCGAAUGGUGGAUGCCUUGACUGGUAAAGGCGAUGAAGGACGUACUAGACUGCGAUAAGCUACGGGGAGCUGUCAAGAAGCUUUGAUCCGUAGAUUUCCGAAUGGGGCAACCCAAUGUAUAGAGAUAUACAUUACCUAUAUAGGAGCGAACGAGGGGAAUUGAAACAUCUUAGUACCCUCAGGAAAAGAAAUCAAUAGAGAUUGCGUCAGUAGCGGCGAGCGAAAGCGUAAGAGGGCAAACCCAGUGCUUGCACUGGGGGUUGUAGGACUGCAAUGUGCAAGAGGUGAGUUUAGCAGAACAUUCUGGAAAGUAUAGCCAUAGAGGGUGAUAGUCCCGUAUGCGAAAAACAAACCUUAGCUAGCAGUAUCCUGAGUAGGGCGGGACACGAGAAAUCCUGUCUGAAGCUGGGUCGACCACGAUCCAACCCUAAAUACUAAUACCAGAUCGAUAGUGCACAAGUACCGUGAGGGAAAGGUGAAAAGAACUGAGGUGAUCAGAGUGAAAUAGAACCUGAAACCAUUUGCUUACAAUCAUUCAGAGCACUAUGUAGCAAUACAGUGUGAUGGACUGCCUUUUGCAUAAUGAGCCUGCGAGUUGUGGUGUCUGGCAAGGUUAAGCAAACGCGAAGCCGUAGCGAAAGCGAGUCUGAAUAGGGCGCUUAGUCAGAUGCUGCAGACCCGAAACGAAGUGAUCUAUCCAUGAGCAAGUUGAAGCUAGUGUAAGAACUAGUGGAGGACUGAACCCAUAGGCGUUGAAAAGCCCCGGGAUGACUUGUGGAUAGGGGUGAAAGGCCAAUCAAACUUCGUGAUAGCUGGUUCUCUCCGAAAUAUAUUUAGGUAUAGCGUUGUGUCGUAAUAUAAGGGGGUAGAGCACUGAAUGGGCUAGGGCAUACACCAAUGUACCAAACCCUAUCAAACUCCGAAUACCUUAUAUGUAAUCACAGCAGUCAGGCGGCGAGUGAUAAAAUCCGUCGUCAAGAGGGAAACAACCCAGACUA